CUUACAGAAAAAUUGAAAACAAACUUAAUGUUUUAAGAAGGAAAUUGACCAGUUUACGUUUGUUACAUCAUUUCUGUAUUCUCAAAAACUUCAAGAAUAGAAUAUCAUUUCUGUAAUCUCAAAAACUUCAAGAAUAGAAUUGGUAUGACUCGAUUUCUCAAGUAUUUCCUAAUGCUAUUUUGAUCGCUGGAUAAAAAGGGAGGGAUGCAACUAUGCACACUGAUAACUCCCAAGUGGCCUUAACAACUUCCUCAUAAUAUUUUGUAGUAAUAAGCUAAAUUUCUCCAUAAAGAGCUUCACAAAAUUUACAAUUUUAACGACUGUAAGAAAACAAUCAGUAAUCUUGGAAGCAUGGACUGGCCAAACAUAUUGUUUGUAAAUACUUCAUAACUCUGAUUUGAAUGGA